rnacentral:rRNA from 1 species
UACAUGGGGUGCAAACGUUGCUCGGAAUUAUUGGGCGUAAAGCGCACGUAGGCGGUUCGUUAAGUCGGAUGUGAAAGCCCUCGGCUCAACUGAGGAAGUGCACCCGAAACUGGCGAGCUUGAGUACGAAAGAGGAUCGCGGAAUUCCCGGUGUAGAGGUGAAAUUCGUAGAUAUCGGGAGGAACACCCGUGGCGAAGGCGGCUCUCUGGGACGGUACUGGACGCGUGAGACGCGAAAGCGUGGGGAGCGAACAGG